CCUACGGGAGGCAGCAGUAGGGAAUCUUCCGCAAUGGACGAAAGUCUGACGGAGCAACGCCGCGUGAACGAUGAAGGCCUUCGGGUCGUAAAGUUCUGUUGUUAGGGAAGAACAAGUGCUAGUUAAAUAAGCUGGCACCUUGACGGUACCUAACCAGAAAGCCACGGCUAACUACGUGCCAGCAGCCGCGGUAAUACGUAGGUGGCAAGCGUUGUCCGGAAUUAUUGGGCGUAAAGCGCGCGCAGGCGGUUUCUUAAGUCUGAUGUGAAAGCCCCCGGCUCAACCGGGGAGGGUCAUUGGAAACUGGGAAACUUGAGUGCAGAAGAGGAAAGUGGAAUUCCAAGUGUAGCGGUGAAAUGCGUAGAGAUUUGGAGGAACACCAGUGGCGAAGGCGACUUUCUGGUCUGUAACUGACGCUGAGGCGCGAAAGCGUGGGGAGCAAACAGGAUUAGAUACCCUGGUAGUCCACGCUGUAAACGAUGAGUGCUAAGUGUUAGAGGGUUUUCCGCCCUUUAGUGCUGAGGUUAACGCAUUAAGCACUCCGCCUGGGGANCGGUCGCAAGACUGAACUCAAAGGAUUGACGGCUGAGACGCGCGACGCGACGACGAGGGAGGUUAGG
rnacentral:rRNA from 1 species